rnacentral:tRNA from 1 species
AGUAAGAUGCCUGAUUAAAGGAAUAUUCUGAUAGAAUAGAUCAAGAAAAUAAGUUUUCUCUUUCUA